UGGCUCAGCUGGUAGAGCAUGGUGUUUGCAACGCCAGGGUUGUGGGUUUGAUUCCCAC
rfam:Salmo salar isolate Sally breed double haploid chromosome ssa18, whole genome shotgun sequence.